rnacentral:rRNA from 1 species
AGAGUUUGAUCCUGGCUCAGAAUGAACGCUGGCGGAGUGCUUAAUACAUGCAAGUCGUGCGAGAAAAUUUCUUCGGAAGUGAGUAAAGCGGCGAACGGGUGAGUAACACGUAAAUAACCUGCCUUCAAAUCUGGGACAACAUUGCUAACGCGAUGCUAAUACCGGAUGUGAUUAUAAAGUCUCAUGACUUAGUAAUUAAAGAUGACCUCUCCUUGGAAGUUAUUGUUUGAAGAUGGAUUUGCGCACUAUUAGUUAGUUGGUAAGGUAACGGCUUACCAAGACGAUGAUAGUUAGCCGACCUGAGAGGGUGAUCGGCCACAUUGGGACUGAGACACGGCCCAGACUCCUACGGGAGGCAGCAGUAGGGAAUCUUGCGCAAUGGACGAAAGUCUGACGCAGCAACUCCGCGUGGAGGAUGAAUGUCUUCGGAUUGUAAACUCCUUUUAUAUAGGAAGAACGGUUACUGUGCUAAUCAGCAGUAAAUUGACGGUACUAUAUGAAUAAGUCACGGCUAAAUACGUGCCAGCAGCCGCGGUAAUACGUAUGUGGCGAGCGUUAUUCGGAAUCACUGGGCGUAAAGAGUACGUAGGCUGGUAAAUAAGUCAGAGGUGAAAGUUUGGGGCUCAACCCCGAAUCUGCCUUUGAAACUGUUUACCUUGAAUAUGCGAGGGGAAGACGGAAUUUCUGGUGUAGCGGUGGAAUGCGUAGAUAUCAGAAAGAACACCGGCGGCGAAGGCGGUCUUCUGGCGCAAUAUUGACGCUGAGGUACGAAAGCGUGGGGAGCGAACAGGAUUAGAUACCCUGGUAGUCCACGCCGUAAACGAUGGACACUAGUUGGUGGAGGGCUUGACCUUUCACUGACGCAGCUAACGCAUUAAGUGUCCCGCCUGGGGAGUACGUCCGCAAGGAUGAAACCCAAAGGAAUUGACGGGGGCCCGCACAAGCGGUGGAGCAUGUGCUUUAAUUCGAUGCAACGCGAAGAACCUUACCUGGCCUUGACAUACCAUUGAUCGCUAUAGAGAUAUAGUUUUUUCUUCGGAAACAGUGGAUACAGGUGCUGCAUGGUUGUCGUCAGCUCGUGUCGUGAGAUGUUGGGUUAAGUCCCGCAACGAGCGCAACCCAUGUCCUUAGUUGCUAACAGGUUAAGCUGAGAACUCUAGGGAGACUGCCGUCGUAAGGCGGAGGAAGGUGUGGAUGACGUCAAAUCGUCAUGGCCCUUACGGCCAGGGCUAGACACGUGCUACAAUGGACGGUACAAAGGGUUGCUACCUAGCGAUAGGAUGCUAAUCUCAAAAAACCGUUCUCAGUUCGGAUAGGAGUCUGCGACUCGACUCCUUGAAGUUGGAAUCGCUAGUAAUCGUGGGUCAGCAUACCACGGUGAAUACGUUCCUGGGCCUUGUACACACCGCCCGUCAAGCCAUGGAAGUUGGCGGUGCCCGACAUCGUAUCCUUAACCUUCGGGAUGGGAGCGACUAAGGCGACGCUGAUAACUAGGGCUAAGUCGAACAAGGUA